UACGGGGGGGGCUAGCGUUGUUCGGAAUUACUGGGCGUAAAGGGCGCGUAGGCGGUCUGCUAAGUUGGAUGUGAAAACUCUGGGCUUAACCCAGAGCCUGCAUUCAAUACUGACAGGCUAGAGUUCUGGAGGGGAUAGCGGAAUUCCUGGUGUAGCGGUGAAAUGCGUAGAUAUCAGGAGGAACACCGGUGGCGAAGGCGGCUACCUGGACAGAAACUGACGCUGAGGCACGAAAGCUAGGGGAGCAAACAGG
rnacentral:rRNA from 1 species